UACGAAGGGGGCUAGCGUUGUUCGGAAUUACUGGGCGUGAAGCGCACGUAGGCGGAUAUUUAAGUCAGGGGUGAAAUCCCAGAGCUCAACUCUGGAACUGCCUUUGAUACUGGGUAUCUUGAGUAUGGAAGAGGUAAGUGGAAUUGCGAGUGUAGAGGUGAAAUUCGUAGAUAUUCGCAGGAACACCAGUGGCGAAGGCGGCUUACUGGUCCAUUACUGACGCUGAGGUGCGAAAGCGUGGGGAGCAAACAGG
rnacentral:rRNA from 1 species